UGAGGAAUAUUGGACAAUGGGCGAGAGCCUGAUCCAGCCAUGCCGCGUGCAGGAAGACUGCCCUAUGGGUUGUAAACUGCUUUUAUACGGGAAGAAACUGCCCCACGCGUGGGGUACUGACGGUACCGUAAGAAUAAGGAUCGGCUAACUCCGUGCCAGCAGCCGCGGUAAUACGGAGGAUCCGAGCGUUAUCCGGAAUCAUUGGGUUUAAAGGGUCCGUAGGCUGGCAAUUAAGUCAGGGGUGAAAGUUUGCAGCUCAACUGUAAAAUUGCCUUUGAUACUGGUUGUCUUGAAUUAGUGUGAAGUGGUUAGAAUGAGUAGUGUAGCGGUGAAAUGCAUAGAUAUUACUCAGAAUACCAAUUGCGAAGGCAGAUCACUAACACUAUAUUGACGCUGAGGGACGAAAGCGUGGGGAGCGAACAGGAUUAGAUACCCCCGUAGUCC
rnacentral:rRNA from 1 species